GACGUAGGGCGCGAGCGUUGUCCGGAUUUAUUGGGCGUAAAGAGCUCGUAGGCGGUUUCGUAAGUCGGAUGUGAAAACUCCAGCUCAACUUGGAGACGCCAUUCGAUACUGCGAUGACUUGAGUCCGGUAGGGGAGUGUGGAAUUCCUGGUGUAGCGGUGAAAUACGCAGAUAUCAGGAGGAACACCGGCGGCGAAGGCGGCACUCUGGGCCGGUACUGACGCUGAGGAGCGAAAGCGUGGGUAGCAAACAGG
rnacentral:rRNA from 1 species